rnacentral:rRNA from 1 species
CCUACGGGUGGCAGCAGUGGGGGAUAUUGCACAAUGGGGGAAACCCUGAUGCAGCGACGCCGCGUGGGUGAAGAAGCGCCUCGGCGCGUAAAGCCCUGUCAGCAGGGAAGAAAAGGACGGUACCUGAAGAAGAAGCCCCGGCUAACUACGUGCCAGCAGCCGCGGUAUUACGGAGGGGGCAAGCGUUACCCGGAUUUACGGGGUGGAAAGGGGGCGCAGACGGCGAUGCAAGCCAGGAGUGAAAGCCCGGGGCCCAACCCCGGGACUGCUCUUGGAACUGCGUGGCUAGAGUGCAGGAGGGGCAGGCGGAAUUCCUGGUGUAGCGGUGAAAUGCGUAGAUAUCAGGAGGAACACCGGUGGCGAAGGCGGCCUGCUGGACUGCAACUGACGUUGAGGCCCGAAAGCGUGGGUAUCAAACAGGAUUAGAUACCCCUGUAGUC